rnacentral:rRNA from 1 species
UACGUAGGGGGCUAGCGUUGUCCGGAAUCAUUGGGCGUAAAGCGCGCGUAGGCGGCCCGGUAAGUCCGCUGUGAAAGUCCAGGGCUCAACCCUGGAAAGCCGGUGGAUACUGCCGGGCUAGAGUCCGGAAGAGGCGAGUGGAAUUCCUGGUGUAGCGGUGGAAUGCGCAGAUAUCCGGAAGAACACCGGUGGCGAAGGCGGCCUGCUGGGCAGUAGCUGACGCUGAAGCGCGACAGCGUGGGGAGCAAACAGG